GCCACAGUGGCAUAGUUGUUUGGGUGUUGGACUGUGACUCUGGAGACCAGGGUUUGAUUCCCAGCUCAGCCG
rnacentral:tRNA from 1 species